CCCUUAGAUGUUCUGGGCCGCACGCGCGCUACACUGUUCGACGCAGCGAGUCUUAACCUUGACCGAAAGGUUUGGGUAAUCUUCAGCAAAGUCGAACGUGAUGGGGAUCGAUCAUUGCAAUUAUUGAUCGUGAACGAGGAAUUCCUAGUAAGUGCAAGUCAUCAGCUUGCGCUGAUUACGUCCCUGCCCUUUGUACACACCGCCCGUCGCUACUACCGAUUGAAUGGUUUAGUGAGAUCUCUGGAUUGACGCUGGCUAGGGGGCGACCCUUGGCCAGACUGUUGAGAAACUGCUCAAACUUGAUCAUUUAGAGGAAGUAAGAGUCGUAACA
rnacentral:rRNA from 1 species